rnacentral:rRNA from 1 species
ACGGACCAAGGAGUCUAGCACGUGCGCGAGUAGGGGCCGUCCCGAAAGCCCGCGGCGCAAUGAAGGUGAGGGCCGGCGCGCGCCGGCUGAGGUGGGAUCCCGGGGCGUGGCGAGCGAGAAGCCCCGGGCGCACCACCGGCCCGUCUCGCGGCCGUUCGCGCGGCCGGGGAGGUGGAGCGUGAGCGUCCGUGCUAGGA